rnacentral:rRNA from 1 species
CCUACGGGGUGCAGCAGUGAGGAAUAUUGGUCAAUGGGCGCGAGCCUGAACCAGCCAAGUAGCGUGAAGGAUGACUGCCCUACGGGUUGUAAACUUCUUUUUUAAAGGAAUAAAGUUAGGCACGUGUGCCUUUUUGUAUGGACUUUAUGAAUUAGGAUCGGCUAACUCCGUGCCAGCAGCCGCCGUAAUACGGAGGAUCCGAGCGUUAUCCGGAUUUAUUGGGUUUAAAGGGAGCGUAGAUGGGUUGUUAAGUCAGUUGUGAAAGUUUGCGGCUCAACCGUAAACUGGCAAUUGAUACUGGCAGUCUAGAGUACAGUUGAGGUAGGCGGAAUUCGAGGUGUAGCGGUGAAAUGCUUAGAUAUCACGAAGAACUCCGAUUGCGAAGGCAGCUUACUAAGCUGCCACUGACAUUGAUGCUCGAAAGUGUGGGUAUCAAACAGGAUUAGAUACCCGUGUAGUC